rnacentral:snoRNA from 1 species
AAGACUAUACUUUCAGGGAUCAUUUCCAUAGCUCGUUACUAGAGAAGUUUCUGAUCAUGCAGAGCACCCAAAACUAUGAGGAGGAGUCAGAGCAUCCUCUCCUGAGCGUGAAGCUGGUUCUACGUGUUGCUUUUACAACUGCCUUUUACCAUUUGAUGAUUGUUCUUCUCUUCUCUUGAAAGAGGGAGAGGGAGAGGAUGCACUCUGAGUGG